rnacentral:rRNA from 1 species
UACGGAGGAUCCAAGCGUUAUCCGGAAUCAUUGGGUUUAAAGGGUGCGUAGGCGGCUUAAUAAGUCAGAGGUGAAAGGCUGUGGCUCAACCAUGGAAUUGCCUUUGAUACUGUUAAGCUUGAAUCAAGUUGAGGUGGGCGGAAUGCGACAUGUAGCGGUGAAAUGCAUAGAUAUGUCGUAGAACACCAAUUGCGAAGGCAGCUCACUGGCCUUGUAUUGACGCUGAGGCACGAAAGCGUGGGUAGCGAACAGG